rnacentral:rRNA from 1 species
AGCAGCCGCGGUAAUUCCAGCUCCAAUAGCGUAUAUUAAAGUUGUUGCAGUUAAAAAGCUCGUAGUUGAAUUUCGGGGUCAGUAGGUUGGUCAUGCCACUGGUAUGUACUGGUCUCACUGAUUCCUCCUUCCUGAUGAGCCGUAAUGCCAUUAAUUUGGUGUUGCGAGGAAUCUGGACUGUUACUUUGAGAAAAUUAGAGUGUUUAAAGCAAGCUAACGCUUGAAUACAUUAGCAUGGAAUAAUGAAAUAGGACGUUCGAUCCUAUUUUGUUGGUUUCUAGGAUUGACGUAAUGAUUAAUAGGGAUAGUUGGGGGCAUUAGUAUUCAAUUGUCAGAGGUGAAAUUCUUGGAUUUAUUGAAGACUAACUACUGCGAAAGCAUUUGCCAAGGAUGUUUUCAUUAAUCAAGAACGAAAGUUAGGGGAUCGAAGACGAUCAGAUACCGUCGUAG